rnacentral:rRNA from 1 species
UACGAAGGGGGCUAGCGUUGUUCGGAUUUACUGGGCGUAAAGCGCACGUAGGCGGACUAUUAAGUCAGGGGUGAAAUCCCGGGGCUCAACCCCGGAACUGCCUUUGAUACUGGUAGUCUUGAGUUCGAGAGAGGUGAGUGGAAUUCCGAGUGUAGAGGUGAAAUUCGUAGAUAUUCGGAGGAACACCAGUGGCGAAGGCGGCUCACUGGUCCAUUACUGACGCUGAGGUGCGAAAGCGUGGGGAGCAAACAGG